CAACACUGGGACUGAGAACUGCCCAGACUCCUACGGGAGGCUGCAGUCGAGAAUCAUUCGCAAUGGGCGAAAGCCUGACGAUGCGACGCCGUGUGAGCGAAGAAGGCCUUCGGGUUGUAAAGCUCUUUCGCUUGGGAACAAGAGAAGCUAGAUAAUACCUAGCCUAUUUGAGGGUACCAGGUAAAGAAGCACCGGCUAACUCCA
rnacentral:rRNA from 1 species